rnacentral:lncRNA from 1 species
UUGAAAAGAAAAAGUUAAUAUAUUAAAAUUAUAGGUUUAAAUCAUCUAUGUAUACUUAUAUUUUUAGAUUUUAUAAAAAAGGGUAAAUUGUACUUUUAGUCACUUUAAAUAGAGGUCUUUCCUAUUUUGAUCACUCAAAAAGAAAUUGAUCAAAUUGAUCACUUAACUGUAAAAUAGUAACAAAAGACUAACGGUGUAUUUAUAAGAAAAAUUUUGGAGUGACCAACGUGAAAACCGACCAUUAAACUUUCAUAGUGCAGUGAUCAGUUUUUAUUUUGGGGUGAUAAAAUUAACAAAAAUAAAUUUGGUGCGACCAAAAUAGAAAUGUCUAAUAUUUAGAGUGAAUAACAGGAGUGUAAUAGGCCAUUUUUGGCCCGGACCAGAGACCCAAAAAGAAACAGAAAAUAAAAACCAAAAUAAACAAAAAUAAAAAUUCAAAAUCAACAGUCCAAAUGUCCAUUACAAGCCCAAUUUAUAAAAUGCAAAAAAAAAACCCUAGGCUCAAAUGGCCCAAAACCAAAAACAUUCUCAGUCAAAGACUAAAAACCUAACUGCUAGGUGCGCCGCUGCCCUCGCCACAGCCUCUACAUCGACUCCGUACACAGUUGGCCUAUGGCCUCCGUACCUGCAAACCAAAGAAAAUAGAACGCGACAGCAACAAAGAAACAAACAAAUUUUGUAAUCUGCCUAUAAAAGAAUCACUAGGCAUUUUGUUUUUUUUUUUACGCACAACAUAGAAAUCAAAAUACAAAAACAGCAUUCAGAACAAAGAUUCUUUUCUAAAAGGUGGUUUUUUAUUUUUUAUUUUUUCUUUUCAUUCCUUUUUUAUUUCGUUUAUUUUUAAAGAAAACAAAAAAAAUAAAAGAAGAGAAUCGAAACCUUACCGUUGUUCUCGCAUCGUGCCGCCGUAGGUGGCCGAGGUUUGUCGAUUUCGAUGAAAAUCGACUUCCAAUGGGUUCGAAGACUCAAAAAACAAAAAAAAAAAGAUUUUUUAUUUUAUUUUUUCAGCCACCACGGUGGUUCGGUGACCGGAGUAUGGUCGGCCAUGGGGGCAUUGGAAAGAGGAGUUGAGAGAGUUUUUCAAAAAAUUUUAUUUUGAAGGCUGAAAAUGAAUUUUU